rnacentral:misc_RNA from 1 species
GAAAUGCGGUAAGUAAUGCGAAUUGCAGAAUUCAGGGAAUCAUCAAAUCUUUGAACGCACAUGGCGCCUUCCAGUAUCCUGGGAGGCAUGCCUGUCCGAGCGUCGUUUCAACCCUCGAGCCCCCGUGGCCCGGCGUUGGGGAUCUGCCCAGGCAGGCCACGAAAACCAGUGGCGGACCCGUUACAGGCCCUUCCUUUGCGUAGUAAUACUGCCUCGCAUCGGGAGCCGGCGGGCUUCCAGCCUCUACACCCCCAGCCAGUGCGCCCCGGCGGCACCAAGGUUGACCUCGGAUCAGGUAGGAAUACCCGCUGAACUUAA